rnacentral:rRNA from 1 species
AUACGGAGGGUGCGAACGUUAAUCGGAAUUACUGGGCGUAAAGCGCGCGUAGGCGGUUUGAUAAGUGGGAUGUGAAAGCCCCGGGCUCAACCUGGGAACUGCAUUCCAAACUGUCAGGCUAGAGUAUGGUAGAGGGAGGUAGAAUUUCCUGUGUAGCGGUGAAAUGCGUAGAUAUAGGAAGGAAUACCGGUGGCGAAGGCGGCCUCCUGGACCAAUACUGACGCUGAGGUGCGAAAGCGUGGGAGCAAACAGGAUUAGAAACCCUAGUAGUCC